GCCACAGCCCGCGCAGUUGCCGGGGAUCGUGCUGAGCCCCGCGAGCCGAGGCAGCGCAGCCUAGGGAGGGGGCUGCCCCGGCCCCCUCCUGCAGUCCCGGCCCCCAGAGGCUCGGCCUUCCUCGCAGGAAGGCGAAGUCCCCGGUGCCAGGUCCGGGGACCAGCAGCCGAGAACGCCCGGGUCCCGGAGCCAACAGGCUCCGAGUGCCCUCGCUCCCCUGCGCCUUCCCGGAGCCCCGCCAGCCCCCGAGGUGCAGGAAGGUCCCGCGGACGGAGCGGGCCUGCCGGCGUUCAGUGGGGUUCUUGGUGAAGCACUUGGCACGCAUCGGAGCUCAUUACUCCUCAUCGUGGUCCUGUAAGGCCGUGUCCGUGUCAGUGGCAGUGCUAACUCUCAGCUUCAUCGCCCUGGACCGCUGGUAUGCCAUCUGCCACCCACUAUUGUUCAAGAGCACAGCCCGGCGGGCCCGUGGCUCCAUCCUGGGCAUCUGGGCUGUGUCGCUGGCCAUCAUGGUGCCCCAGGCUGCAGUCAUGGAAUGCAGCAGUGUGCUGCCUGAGCUAGCCAACCGCACACGGCUCUUCUCAGUCUGUGAUGAACGCUGGGCAGAUGACCUCUAUCCCAAGAUCUACCACAGUUGCUUCUUUAUUGUCACCUACCUGGCCCCACUGGGCCUCAUGGCCAUGGCCUAUUUCCAGAUAUUCCGCAAGCUCUGGGGCCGCCAGAUCCCCGGCACCACCUCAGCACUGGUGCGGAACUGGAAGCGCCCCUCAGACCAGCUGGGGGACCUGGAGCAGGGCCUGAGUGGAGAGCCCCAGCCCCGGGCCCGCGCCUUCCUGGCUGAAGUGAAGCAGAUGCGUGCACGGAGGAAGACAGCCAAGAUGCUGAUGGUGGUGCUGCUGGUCUUCGCCCUCUGCUACCUGCCCAUCAGUGUCCUCAAUGUCCUUAAGAG
rnacentral:sRNA from 1 species